rfam:TPA: Bos taurus chromosome X, whole genome shotgun sequence.
UCCCUGGUGGUUCAGUGGUUAGGACUCUGCACUCUUACUGUGGAGGUCCCAGGUUCAAUUCUUGGUUGGGGAA